GGGUAGCUCAGUUGGUAGAGCAGCGGAUUGAAAAUCCGCGUGUCGGUGGUUCGAAUCCGCCCCC
rnacentral:tRNA from 2 species